GGUGGAUUUGCUCAGUGGGUAGAGCUUAGGGUUUGCGACCAUGAGGUCCCAGUUUCGAAUCUUGCCAGAGACCG
rnacentral:tRNA from 1 species